UGAAUUCGAUCGUCAAUUUAAAAUAUUUACACAAGUGGAUACCACAAAAUCUUAUUUUAUACUUAAUGAAGGUAUAAAUAAACUCUAAGUGUUAAUGAAUCUAUCGUUUUGAUGAGAUACAAAUUCUAUGAAACUAAUUUCAAUGAUCAAACCGUCAAACUUGUUUGUAUAUGCUUCGAGAUCGCAUACGCCAAAAAUCACAAAAAAAAAACAUUCAGAGAUCAAGUAAUGAGACAAAACUUUUCGACGGUUAUAAAACAAAAAAUCACGAUUUAACGGUUAUUUUAACUUCGAUUUUGAUGAUUUUUUACAACCACACUUGUUGACCCUAUACGAAUACAAUGGAUGAAUUCGAUCGUCAAUUUAAAAUUUUUACACAAGUGGAUACCACAAAAUCUUAUUUUAUACUUAAUGAAGGUAUAAAUAAACUCUAAGUGUUAAUGAAUCUAUCGUUUUGAUGAGAUACAAAUUCUAUGAAACUAAUUUCAAUGAUCAAACCGUCAAACUUGUUUGUAUAUGCUUCGAGAUCGCAUACGCCAAAAAUCACAAAAAAAAAACAUUCAGAGAUCAAGUAAUGAGACAA
rnacentral:lncRNA from 1 species